rnacentral:rRNA from 1 species
CCUACGGGAGGCUGCAGUGAGGAAUAUUGGUCAAUGGGCGCGAGCCUGAACCAGCCAAGCCCCGUGAGGGAAGACGGUCCUAUGGAUUGUAAACCUCUUUUGUCGGGGAGCAAAAGACGCCACGCGUGGCGUUCCGAGAGUACCCGAAGAAAAAGCAUCGGCUAACUCCGUGCCAGCAGCCGCGGUAAUCCGGAGGAUGCGAGCGUUAUCCGGAUAUAUUGGGUUUAAGGGGGGCGCAGGCGGAAGAUCAAGUCAGCGGUAAAAUUGAGAGGCUCAACCUCUUAGAGCCGUUGAAACUGGUUGUCUUGAGUGAGGGAGAAGUAUGCGGAAUGCGUGGUGUAGCGGUGAAAUGCAUAGAUAUCACGCAGAACUCCGAUUGCGAAGGCAGCAUACCGGCGCUCAACUGACGCUGAUGCACGAAAGUGUGGGUAUCGAACAGGAUUAGAUACCCGAGUAGUC